GCUGGGCGGGGGCACUGGGGGACUUCUACUGGAGGCAGCAGUAGGGAAUCUUCCACAAUGGACGCAAGUCUGAUGGAGCAACGCCGCGUGAGUGAAGAAGGCUUUCGGGUCGUAAAACUCUGUUGUUGGAGAAGAAUGGUCGGCAGAGUAACUGUUGUCGGCGUGACGUUCCAUCCGCGGCCGCGCCUGAAGUGUAUUGAAGCCC
rnacentral:rRNA from 1 species